rnacentral:rRNA from 1 species
GACGAACGCUGGCGGCGUGCUUAACACAUGCAAGUCGAACGGAAAGGCCCUGCUUUUGUUGGGUGCUCGAUUGGCGAACGGGGGAGUAACACGUGAGUAACCUGCCCUUGACUGUGGGAUAACUUCAGGAAACUGGGGCUAAUACCGGAUAGGAGCUCCUGCUGCAUGGUGGGGGAUAGAAAGAUUCGGCGGUUGGGGCUGGAUUGGCGGCUUAUCAGCUUGUUGGUGGGGUAGUGGCUUACCAAGGCUUUGACGGGUAGCCGGCCUUAGAGGGUUACCGGCCACAUGGGGACUGAGAGACGGACCAGACUCCUACGGGAGGCAGCGGUGGGGAAUAUUGCACAAUGGGCGGAAGCGAGAUGCAGAGACGCUGGGAGCGGGAUAACGGGUUUCGGGUUGUAAACCGAUUUCGCAUGUGCCGAAGCGUGAGUGACGGUAAUGGGUAAAGAAGCACCGGCUAACUACGUG